rfam:TPA: Bos taurus chromosome 3, whole genome shotgun sequence.
UCCCUGGUGGUCUAAUGGCUAAGACUCUGUGCUCCCAAUUCAGGGGGCCUGGAUUCAAUCCCUGGUCAAGGAA